rnacentral:rRNA from 1 species
UACGGGGGGUGCGAGCGUUGUCCGGAAUCAUUGGGCGUAAAGGGCGCGUAGGUGGUUCUGUAUGUCUACCGUGAAAGCGUACGGCUCAACCGUAUUUUGUCGGUAGAAACUGCAGGACUUGAGGCUGGGAGGGGCUGGUGGAAUUCCCUGUGUAGCGGUGAAAUGCGUAGAGAUGGGGGAGAACACUCGUGGCGAAGGCGGCCAGCUAGACCAGUUCUGACACUGAGGCGCGACAGCGUGGGGAGCAAACAGG